rnacentral:rRNA from 1 species
UACGUAGGGGGCUAGCGUUGUCCGGAAUCAUUGGGCGUAAAGAGCGUGUAGGCGGCCCGGUAAGUCCGCUGUGAAAGUCGGGGGCUCAACCCUCGAAUGCCGGUGGAAACUGUCGGGCUCGAGUGCGGAAGAGGCGAGUGGAAUUCCUGGUGUAGCGGUGAAAUGCGCAGAUAUCAGGAGGAACACCGAUUGCGAAGGCAGCUCGCUGGGACGCGACUGACGCUGAGACGCGAAAGCGUGGGAGCAAACAGG